UUAGUACUCCCUCCGGCCGGAAUUACUUGUCGAAAUAUUACAUGUAUCUAGACGCUUUUUAAACAUAGAUACAUCCAUAUUUUGGCAAAUUUGAGACAAGUAAUAUGGGUCGGAGGGAGUAUUAA
rnacentral:pre_miRNA from 1 species